UACAGAGGUCUCAAGCGUUGUUCGGAUUCAUUGGGCGUAAAGGGUGCGUAGGCGGCGCGGUAAGUCGGGUGUGAAAUCCCGCAGCUUAACUGCGGAAUGGCAUUGGAUACUAUUCGGCUAGAGGGUUGGAGGGGGGACUGGAAUUCUCGGUGUAGCAGUGAAAUGCGUAGAUAUCGAGAGGAACACCAGUGGCGAAGGCGAGUCCCUGGACAACUCCUGACGCUGAGGCACGAAAGCUAGGGGAGCAAACAGG
rnacentral:rRNA from 1 species